CGUGGUAGAUGAUUGGUUCCUGGUUGGGCCCGUCCCAGCAGUCAAGCUCCAGGCAUCGGCAGCCUUUGCACAGUGCCCUGCGGGGAGGGUGGUGGCUAGGACCCUCCAGGUCCUGUCCCGGGUCCCACCCAGACUCCCGACCCAAGGCUCCCUGAGCAGCACCGGAUGUAGGCUUCAGUGCUGCUGGGCCCGGCUAGCUGGUCCUCCAGCAGGUAGGUGUUGUGUGAAGAGGACACCAGGUAGUGGCUAAGUGGCUGGCCCAUGUCCUGGUAGACACGGCGGUGUGCCAGGCUGAAGGCGCUGCCGUCAGCCGACAGUAAGUACAUGAGGAAGCCGUCCUUGGUCAUCUGCCGCUGCGCCUUGGCUGGGAGGGAGGAGGCCACUGCCCGUCAGAGCCAGCCUCCAGCAGGCGCUCCUGGCUGCCCACCCAUCUGGACAGAGGAGCCCUCUGAACCCGCUUGCCUGCCUGUCCUGAGCCAGUCUUCCAGAGCUCUUGGAAUUAGGAUAAGUCUGAGGCUCUCGACCAGACUGUGGCUACUCCAGAGUGGGGCCCUGUCUCCUCCUCCUCCCCUGUCUGCACACUCUAAGACCCCUGAGGACAGGGUGUCAUCUCCCCGUUCUCUGUACCUCCAGACUGGAGCCCCCUCCAGGGCAGGGACCCAUCUUCUCUGCUCUAUCACAUCUCAAAGCUGGGCCAAGAAUGAGUAAAAAAAAAAGAAGCAGGAGUAGCAUCUGCUUUUCAGCCAUCUCUCUUGUUUCUUGAAGAAGGGGUCCUCAAAGCCCCCUGAAGGAGGUGCCAAGAGGGAAACAGGACCAGAGAAGGGUAGGGAUGCCAGAGCCCUGUCUCUCAUCUGCCGGCUUUCAUAGGACCAGAAAGUGUGGAGCAGGGCCCCGGGGCUGGCUGAGGCAGCCCCUUCCCUCCGGUUCCCUUCUUUCUGGCUGCAGUCUCCCCAGGGGUCUCCCAGCCCAGUGCGGCCCUGCGACUGCAGGUAGCAGGCCCUGGUCAGGCUCUCACCAGUCUCGCUGGGCUCGUAGCGCUCAAUGAGGGAGAGGGCCAGCGCAGGCCCUGCCGCCUCCUCCCGCUGCUGGUGCUGCAGGAACGUCACUAACUGAUCCACCGACAGAGUCUCCCCUGAGCCCGCGGCCUCGGCGAAGGUGCGGUCGAUCUCCACCCGCUGGGUCAGCAUCUUGUAGAAGGCCUCAAUCUCCUCGUCCUCCAGGGAGUCUGUCUGGGAGUGGUCACACUCCUGCAGAGCCAGGACAGCCGAGUGGGCUCAGAGCAGGCCUUGGGCCGGGGUCAAGGGCCCCAUGGACAGGCAGCCCCAGCCCCCACUUCCUGCCUCACCCUGAAGAUCUUCCGGGCAUAGCUGUCGUCCACCUGGAUGUUGAGCUCCUUCAGGAAGUUCUGCAGCUCCUUGAAGCUCAUCUUGUUGUCCUUGUUUUUGUCAGCUUUUCGCAAGCAGGAGUGAAUCCAGCUGGGCAAGAAGUAAGGAAAGAACCCAGGAACCCUGGAACCUACCAAGGUCCCAGCCAGAGCCAUGGAUGGCUCCAGCUGAAGCCACCUAUAGCCACAGCUCCCUGCAGGCCUGACUUACUACACAUCCAUGUUUCAGUGGCCUCUUCAGAGGAAAAUGUUAAGGGGUCUUUUUCUAUUUGCUGGUUUUCAAACCUUUCAAAAUUUUUAAAACAUUUCUUUUCUUACUACAAAAGGGCCCACUGUAGACAAUUUAGAAAAUGCAGAAAAGUAAACAAUCAAACAAAUCUCCCGUAGUCUAUCACCUAGGGAUAAAUACUAUCAACAUUCCAAAGUAUAUCCUUCUGGUUUUCCUUUUCUUUUUUUUUUUUUUUUGACAAGAUCUCACUCUGUCGCCCAGAUUAGAGUGCAGUGGCACAAUCACAGCUCAUUGCAGCCUAGACCUCUCAGGCUCAAGUGAUCCUCCCACUACAGGUGUGCACCGCACCACCACGCCUGGCUUUUUUUUUUUUUUUUGGGUAGAGACAGGGUCUCCCUAUGUUGCCCAGGCUAGUCUCAAACUCCUAGGCCCAAGCAAUCCUCCUGCUUUGACCUCCCAAAGUGCUGGGAUUACAGAUAUGAGCCAUCUGGACUGGUUUUCAACAUAUAAUAUAUAAUAAUAAAUAUCCAACACUAAAGAAAUGGAUAUUCCACCUGCUGAAUAGCCUUCAGCACACGAAUCUCGUGCUUGGCUGGACCAUUCUAAACUUGACUUUUUUCACCUGGCUUUCUGUCAUAAUUAUUCUUUUCCACAUCUAUACCCAUAUAUAUACAAUUUGGAAAACAUAUAUAUGUUAGAAUGAAGUUUUUUUUUUUUUUUUUGGAGACGGAGUCUUGCUCUGUUGCCCAGGCUAGAGUACACUGGCGCGAUCUCGGCUCACUGCAACCUCUGCCCUCUGGAUUCAAGCAAUUCUCCUGCCCUAGCCUCCUGAGGAGCUGGGAUUACAGGCGUAUGCUACCAUGCCCAGCUAAUUUUUGUAUUUUUAGUUGAGACGGGGUUUCAGCAUGUUGGCUAUGCUGGUCUUGAACUCCUCACCUCAAGUGAUCCACCCGCCUUGGCCUCCCAAAGUGCGGGGAUUACACGUGUGAGCCACGGCACCCGGCCUAUAAUGAAGUUUUAAAGAUCUACCUACCUCCUCCAGAAGCUUCUGAUAUUUGCAUUUUCCUCCUAAUAUUUUUUUCUGCAAUUUAUUUAUUUAUUUGGUUUUUUGAGACAGGGUCUCGCUCUGUUGCCCAGGCUUGAGUGCAGUGGCAUGAUUAUGGCCCACUGCAGCCUCAAACAAUCUUCCCACCUCAGUCUGCUAAGUAGCUGGAACUACAGGUGCAUGUCACUAUGCCUGGCUAAUUUUUGUAUUUUUUGGAGAGAUGGGGUUUUGCCACGUUGCCCAGACUAGUCUCGAACUCCUAAGCUCAAGCGAUCCACCUGCCUCAGCCUCCCAAAGUGCUAGGACUAGAGGUGUGAGCCGCCGAGCCCAGCCUUUCUGGAUUUUAAUUUUCUUUUUUUUUUUUUUUUUUUCCUGAGACGGAGUCUAGCUCUGUCACCCAGGCUGGAGUGCAGUGGCGCAAUCUUGGCUCACUGCAAGCUCCGCCUCCCGGGAUCACGCCAUUCUCCUGCCUCAACCUCCCAAGUAGCUGGGACUACAGGCGCCCACCACCACGCCCGGCUAAUUUUUUGUAUUUUUUAGUAGAGACGGGGUUUCACCGUGUUAGCCAGGAUGGUCUCGAUCUCCUGACCUGGUGAUCCACCUGCCUCGGCCUCCCAAAGUGCUGGGAUUACAGGCGUGAGCCACUGCGCCCCGCCCGGAUUUUAAUUUUCCUAAUGAUGCAUCUGCCAAAAAUAAUGGAAAUCAUACAUUUGUAGUCCAUUUUCUGUGUAACAUUAUAUCAUAAUUAUUUCCCUGUGUUAGUGUAGUCUCCAUAAACAGCUUUAAUGACUGUAUAAUGUUCCACUGAGUGUAUGCACUAUAAAUUAGAAUGGCUUUAUGAUCUUAAGGUCUAGGCAGCAGGACUCUGCAGAGGGCAUGAGACUGUCCAAGGUCAAGGCUCUGCCAAAGGUGGGAUUAUGACAAAAAUGCCAUAGAAUUGGGCUUUUUAAAAAGCUCACAAUCAGGCAGAUGUGCCAUUGAGAAAUAACACUUAAAAGUCUUUCAAAUGCUCAAAAGCACACAGAAAAGGAAAUUAACAGGGCUCAAAAUGUGUCCCCUAAGGAGUGGACAUACACCAGCAAUGAAAAAUUUGAAAGUGAAAUUAAGAAAACAUUUCCAUUUACAGUAGCAGCAAAGUGAAUAAAAUGCUUUUAAAGAAAUUGUUUAAGUGCAAAACCUGGAAAACCAUAAGGCACUGUUGAAAAAAAAUGAAAGAAGACAUAAAUAAAUGGAAAGAAUUACAUGUUCAUGGAUCAGAAGACUUGACAUUAUUAUACUGGGAAUAUGCUCCAAAUUGAUCUAUACAUUCAAUAUAAUCCCUAUCAAAAUCUUGCUGGCUUCUUUGCAGAAAUUGACAGGCUAAUCCUAAAAUUCGUAUAGAAAUUCAAGGGACCCAGAAUAGCUAAAGCAAUAUUGAAAAAAAAAACAGAAACAAAUUUAGAGAACUCACAUUUCCUUAUUUCAAAACUUACUACAAAGUUACAGAAAGCAAAAUAUUGUGGUAGUGGUGCAAGGACAGACAUAUAGACAAACAGAAUAAAAUUGAGAACUCAGGCCCAGCGCAGUGGCUCACUGCUGUAAUCCCAGAAUUUUGGAUUAGGCAAAGCUUUCGUGAAUAUGAUGCCAAAAAAAAUAAACAACAAAAGAAAUAAAGUAUAUGAAUUACACUUCAUCAAAACCAAAAACUUUUGUGCUUCAAAGAAUAUCAAGAGGCUGAUCUGAGUGCAGGGGUGUUUACAACUAAUUGAUCACAAGCAGUUCCAGAUUUCUUUGUUCCUUCUCCACUCUCACUGUUUCACUUUUCUAGCCUAAAAAAACCCAUCAAGAAAGAGAAAAGACAACCCACAGAAUGGAGAAAUUAUUUGCAAGCAUAAAUCUCAUAAAAGACUUGUAUCUAUAAUAUAUAAAGAGCUCUUACAACUCAAUAAUAAAGACAAAUGAUCCAAAAAAUGGGCAAAGGACCUGAAUAGAUAUUUCUCCAAAGAAGAUAUAUAAACGUACAUGGAAAAAUGCUCAAUAUCACUAAUCAUUAGGGAAAUGCAAAUCAAAAUCACAAUGAGAUACCACUUCAUACCCACAGGGUGUCUAUAAUCAAGACAAAUGUAGUGUCAAGGACAUGGAAAACUGAAACCCUCGUAUACUGCUGGUGGGAAUGUAAAUUGAUGCAGCCUGUUUGGAAAACAGUUUGGCAGUUUCUCAAAAGGUUAAACAUAGUUACCAUAUGACCCAGCGAUUCUACUCCAAGAGAAAUGAAAACAUAUAUACACACCAAAACUUAUACACGAAUGUUAAUAUCAGCAUUCUUCAUAAAAGCCCCAAAGUGGAAACAAUCUAAAUGUCCAUCAUCUGGUGAAGAGAUACAUGUGGUCUAUCCAUACAGUAGCAUAUUACUAGACAAUUGGAAGGAAUGAAGUACUGACACAGGCUACAACAUGGAUGAAUAUUGCAAACAUCACGCUAAAUGAAAGAAGCCAGUCACAAAAGACUCCAUGAUUCCGUUUCUGUAACAUGCCCAGAACAGGAAAGUGUAUAGAGGCAGAAAGUAGAUUAGUGGCUGUCUAGGGCUGGGGGUUGAGGUGAAAUGGGGACUGACUGCUAAGGGGUACAGUGUUUCUUUCUGGGGUGAUGGAAAUGUGCUAAAAUUGAUUGUGAUGAUGGCUGCACAAUUCUGUGAAUAUACUAAAAAGCACUGAAUCAGGUUCAACACUUUAAAAGGGUUAAUUAUAUGGUAUGUGAAUUACACCUCAAUAAAGCUGCCAUAAAAAAUGGAGAGAGCUGGCUCCACCCUAAUCCAUACAUGCCAGAAGCCCGACCACUUCGAAUCAUAAACCAGUGUGUCAUUGUGUAACUAAAUGUUGAAGUUAAUUUGUUUUGAGCUCACAGGCUGGCCUACACACCAGGCCCAGGGGAACUUGAUCACUCCCCAAAGAAUGGCACAGGAGGGUACCAUGGCCUCCCAACUCCCAGAGGGAAAUCGUGUGGUAACUCUAGAAAACAUGAUUAAAACAUCCAAGACUGGUCUCCCAUUGCAGCAGGCUGCUCCCCUCAGGCUCCCCAGACCCCCAACUCCAUGCUGGUGACAGACGGGGACACAGGGAGUAUCAGGGAGCAGCAGAGCUAUUUGGGCUCUGGUCAGACUAGACCAAAGAGGGCUUCAUGUAUCUUCCCUCCUUCCCUUCUGAAUUGUAUACCCCACCCCCCAACUCACCAAAAUUUAUAUGUUGAAGCCCUAAUGCCCAACGUGAUGAUAUUUGGAGAUAAGGCCUUUGGAAGAUAACUUGGUUGAGAUGAGGUCAUGAGGGUGGGGCACCCGCGCUGGGAUUAGUGCCCUUACAAGAAGAGAUGGCAGAGAACCUAGUCUCUCUCUCCCCACCAUGUGAGGACACAGCAAGAAGACAGUCAUCUGCCAGCAAAGGAGAGAGCCCUCACCAGGCUCUGACCAUACUGGCUCCCUGACCUUGGACUUCCAGCCUCCACACUGUGAGAAAAUAAAUUAUGCUGUUUAAGCCACCUAUGAUAUUUUGUUAUGGCAGCCCAAAGUACCUAAACCAGCUUCCAUACCCAAGUUGCCCUGGGGAUAACCACAGCCAGUGUCCACAAGCCAGGCCUGGACCCACUGCCACCAAAAGGAUACUGCUGUAGCUUCUGACGCUGGUCCAUGGAGCCUGAGUGGUGGAUGAUCUUGUGCAGCCCCAGCACCCAGUGCU
rnacentral:lncRNA from 1 species